rnacentral:rRNA from 1 species
UACGUAGGGGGCGAGCGUUGUCCGGAUUUAUUGGGCGUAAAGAGCUCGUAGGCGGUUCGAUAAGUCGGACGUGAAAUCUCCACGCUCAACGUGGAGGGGCCGUUCGAUACUGUCGUGACUCGAGUCCGGUAGGGGAGUGUGGAAUUGCAGGUGUAGCGGUGAAAUGCGUAGAUAUCUGCAGGAACACCCGUGGCGAAAGCGGCGCGCUGGACCACUACUGACGCUGAGGAACGAAAGCUAGGGGAGCAAACAGG